rnacentral:rRNA from 5 species
GAAUGCUGACAUAAGUAACGAUAAAGCGGGUGAAAAGCCCGCUCGCCGGAAGACCAAGGGUUCCUGUCCAACGUUAAUCGGGGCAGGGUGAGUCGACCCCUAAGGCGAGGCCGAAAGGCGUAGUCGAUGGGAAACGGGUUAAUAUUCCCGUACUUGGUGUUACUGCGAAGGGGGGACGGAGAAGGCUAUGUUGGCCGGGCGACGGUUGUCCCGGUUUAAGCGUGUAGGUGUGUGUUCCAGGUAAAUCCGGUUCACUUUAACACUGAGGCGUGAUGACGAGGCACUACGGUGCUGAAGCAACAAAUGCCCUGCUUCCAGGAAAA